AACGAACGCUGGCGGCAGGCCUAACACAUGCAAGUCGAACGCUCCGCAAGGGGAGUGGCGCACGGGUGAGUAACGCGUGGGAAUCUACCAUAUAGUAAGGGAUAACAGUUGGAAACGACUGCUAAUACCAUAUACGCCCUUAGGGGGGAAAGAUUUAUCGCUAUAUGAUGAGCCCGCGUAAGAUUAGCUAGUUGGUGAGGUAAUGGCUCACCAAGGCUACGAUCUUUAGCUGGUCUGAGAGGAUGAUCAGCCACACUGGAACUGAGACACGGUCCAGACUCCUACGGGAGGCAGCAGUGGGGAAUAUUGGACAAUGGGCGCAAGCCUGAUCCAGCCAUGCCGCGUGAAUGAUGAAGGCCUUAGGGUUGUAAAGUUCUUUCGCUAU
rnacentral:rRNA from 1 species